rnacentral:rRNA from 1 species
AUGACAGCCACACUGGGACUGAGAACACGGCCCAGACUCCUACGGGAGGCAGCAGUGGGGAAUAUUGGACAAUGGGGGCAACCCUGAUCCAGCGAUGCCGCGUGUGCGAAGAAGGCCUGCGGGUUGUAAAGCACUUUGAUUUGGGGAAGAAAUACUUGUGUUUAAGAGAUGCAAGGGAUGACGUUACCCAAAGAACAAGCACCGGCUAACUCUGUGCCAGCAGCCGCGGUAAUACAGAGGGUGCGAAGCGUUAAUCCGGAAUUACUGGGCGUAAAGGGCGCGUAGGCGGCCUAUUAAGUUAGAUGUGAAAACUUUGGGCUUAACCUGGGAGCUUGCAUUUAAGACUGAUAAGCUAGAGUAUUGUAGAG